GAUGAACGCUGGCGGCGUGCCUAAUACAUGCAAGUCGAGCGAACGGACGAGAAGCUUGCUUCUCUGAUGUUAGCGGCGGACGGGUGAAUAACACGUGGAUAACCUACCUAUAAGACUGGGAUAACUUCGGGAAACCGGAGCUAAUACCGGAUAAUAUUUUGAACCGCAUGGUUCAAAAGUGAAAGACGGUAUUGCUGUCACUUAUAGAUGGAUCCGCGCUGCAUUAGCUAGUUGGUAAGGUAACGGCUUACCAAGGCAACGAUGCAUAGCCGACCUGAGAGGGUGAUCGGCCACACUGGAACUGAGACACGGUCCAGACUCCUACGGGAGGCAGCAGUAGGGAAUCUUCCGCAAUGGGCGAAAGCCUGACGGAGCAACGCCGCGUGAGUGAUGAAGGUCUUCGGAUCGUAAAACUCUGUUAUUAGGGAAGAACAUAUGUGUAAGUAACUGUGCACAUCUUGACGGUACCUAAUCAGAAAGCCACGGCUAACUACGUG
rnacentral:rRNA from 1 species